AUCCAGUGAAAUUGUUAUUGUACAAAGAAAGAUACUCAAGCUGUGAACACUGCCCCAAACUCGAUGGUAUUUCCCCAUACAACUCGUUGUAAGACAAACGAAGCCUCUUGAGUCUAUGCAGAUUGUGUGUGCACAUAUCAAGAGGUAAACUACUAGACAAACUAUUAUUCCUUAGUUCCAAAACUUCUAGAAAUGACAUGUUGAAGAUAGAUGGGGGAAUGGGGCCAUGAAAGGAGUUCUCGUUCACGUCUAAAGAAACGAGAGAAGAAAGAUUCCCAAUUUCUGGUGGGAGGGUUCCCACAAGACCCAUGGACGAUAUAUUCAACUGAGUAACCCUAUUGUAACGUGAAUCACAAGUAACUCCGAUCCAACUGCAAACACUGGCUUCGGUGCUCCAAUUUUGGGUCAAUAUAUUUUGAGGAUCUAAUGUGAUUUGGGAUUUUAAGGCGAGAAGGGUAGAACGAUCGGUGUUGAUAUCGGUUUUGGCUGAGCUAUAAUCCAUCAAAUAAUGGAUUGGUAAGAGUAGUGCAAGGAUGAGAAAAUGGGGAGAUUUUGGCAUUUUUUGGCUUGAUUUUGACAGUAGUAAUUUUUUAGAAUAUUGAACUAUGAAAUCCAUAUACAUGUAUAUAUAGUGUGUGUGUGGAUAUGAUAGGCAAAUGGGAAGGAUUAAUGAUGAAAGUAGGAAAUGCAGAGUUUCCUUUUAUUCAAAGCUAAAAUAAUAUUUUUCCCAUUGGAAAGACGAAGACGGAGAAAAUAAUUAAUUGGAGUGUGAAUGAGGAAAAGACGAAGAAAAUAAUUGUGGAACUAUAAAGAGUGAUUUUUGGAGGCAAAAGCAACUAAGACUAUUUAUAUGGAAAGCUACUUUCUGUUCGAUUUGGGAGAUUGAGUCUAACCCAAAUCUUAAAAAAUGACCCUAAAAUUCAUAUUAAAAUAGCAUUAUAAGUUUUGGCCGUGAUCAGAGGGCUACGUCAGUUGAAUAAACAACAAAACCUGUUUGUUUAUUUGAAGUGGUAGAAUAACAUGCAAAAGUAGAAUAUAUUCUCUAUUUUUAUAAUAGAUUUGGGAGACUUUAAAUCCCCCUUUUUGUGAUCUUUGAAUAAGAUAUAAUAAAGGGUAAUUCACACUUCGCAAUCUAAAACCAAGCUCUACGCAAUUGCCCCCUGAAAAUAGAGCAAUUGUUGCAAUUUGAAUUCGAGUCAUUUUGAGUAGUAGUAAUAAUAAUAAUAAUAAUAAUAAUAAUAAUAAUAAUAAUAAUAAUAAUAAUAAUAAUAAUAAUAAUAAUAAUAAUAAUAAUAAUAAUAAUAAGCUCUUGGUAACGAGGAAGUGUAUUCAAAUUCAAAUAAUUUUAUCAAAAACACCAGUAAANACCUCCUAAUUAAAGAAGAUCAAAUGAAAUAAGAGAAAAGAAAUUAACUCGCAAGCUAGCUUGAGGAGCUAAACUUGUGGCUAGGUGAUAAUAAAUCAUACCACUUAAACUAUUAUUGUCGAGGUAUAAGUUCAAAAGAGCUGUCAUGUUCCCCACUUCUCUUGGGAUUGAUCCGCUAAGUUCGUUGGAAUCCAACCACAUGUCCUGCAAAUUAUGAAGAUUUCCAAUCUCUUUCGGAAUAGUACCUGGAGAAUAAUCCCACAAGACAAUGUAUGACCCCUACCAACUUCAAGACAACAUACCUCUUAAUUAAAGAAGAUCAAAUGAAAUAAGAGAAAAAGAAAUUAACUCGUAAGCUAGCUUGAGGAGCUAAACUUGUGGCUAGGUGAUAAUAAAUCAUACCACUUAAACGAUUAUUGCCGAGCUCUAACUGAAAAAGAGCUGUCAUGUUCCCCACUUCUCUCGGGAUUGAUCCGCUAAGUUCGUUGGAAUACAACCACAUGUCCUGCAAAUUAUGAAGAUUUCCAAUCUCUUUCGGAAUAGUACCUGCAGAAUAAUGAAGUCAUCAAAGUCAAGUUCCAUAUUGUUAAGUAUAACUAUCAUAACAAUAAUAAAUAAAAUACGCGAUUCGAUCGGUUGAGAGAUUGAGCUGUAUACUAUUUUAAGUAUAAUGAUAUUUAUUUCACUAAUCAACGGAAGACAAAGAUCAAUAUAAAGUUAGUCUAGCUAAUUCUAGAUUGAAACGUAUAGGGCAAAUAUUACUUUAUCACCCGAUAUAAAGUUUAAAUUUGACCCUCAAACGCAAAGCACAUAAAUCAAAGAAUUAAAUAAUAUGGCAUUAAAUGCAUGAUUUGACCUCAUAAAUAUAGGCAUAAUCAACUUACCAGUCAACUUAUUUACACCAAGGUACAACUCUUGAAGCUUCGUCAAGUUCCCAAUUUCUGUCGGCACAAAUCCAGUGAAAGUGUUGUUGAACAAAGAAAGAUACUCAAGCAGUGAACACUGCCCCAAACUCGAUGGUAUUUCCCCAUACAACACGUUGUAAGACAAACGAAGCCUCUUGAGUCUAUGCAGAUUGUGUUUGCACAUAUCAAGAGGUAAACUACUAGACAAACUAUUAUUCCUUAGUUCCAAAACUUCUAGAAAUGACAUGUUGAAGAUAGAUGGGGGAAUGGAGCCAUGAAAGGAGUUCUCGUUCGCUUCUAAAGAGACGAGAGAAGAAAGAUUCCCGAUUUCUGGUGGGAG
rnacentral:lncRNA from 1 species